UCCCUGGUAGCUCAGAUGGUAAAGCAUCUGCCUACAAUGCGGGAGACUCAGGUUCGAUCCCUGGGUCGGGAA
rnacentral:tRNA from 1 species